GCAUGGCCGAAUUCUGUUUUACUCUUUCUGUAGUAAAUGCAGUCAGACACCAUGCAAGAUUACCAUGCUUCCUUUCACUGAAUUUGUGUGGUAGCUUUUAUAUGUUAUCACUAAUAUGAAGGGAGCAUACAG